rnacentral:lncRNA from 10 species
GGGAUGUUUAUGAAGUCUCCUUCUCAUUUAUUCUGUAUACGGCCUGAGAGUCUCUCUGGAACCCAGGGACCUUGUGUCUGCAAUUUUUAGCACUUGCCACCAGAUGGCACAGUGUAGCAAGUAAACACCAACUGACUGCUCCUCAGGAGUCUUACAAGGAGAGUCACACAGAAAAUAGAGGAAGGGACGCAAACACACAGAGGAGAUGGAAAGGUGCACAGGGAGCAGAGAUUUGGGUAAUACAGCCACGUGGAAUGACGGAAGCCACCAGAAGUUGCAAGAGUAAGCAAAGAAUCCCAAACCCUGAUGCCUCAGGGGCGAAGAAGGUAAUCAAAAUGGCAGAAGUGGUUCCAGGAAGAGACACGACUGAGUUCCAGCAGUUGGGUAGCAUUGGAGAUGGACCCAG